CAGUCGCCGCGGGAAUACAGAGGGUGCGAGCGUUAAUCGGAUUUACUGGGCGUAAAGCGUGCGUAGGCGGCUUCUUAAGUCGGAUGUGAAAUCCCUGAGCUUAACUUAGGAAUUGCAUUCGAUACUGGGAAGCUAGAGUAUGGGAGAGGAUGGUAGAAUUCCAGGUGUAGCGGUGAAAUGCGUAGAGAUCUGGAGGAAUACCGAUGGCGAAGGCAGCCAUCUGGCCUAAUACUGACGCUGAGGUACGAAAGCAUGGGGAGCAAACAGGAUUAGAUACUCCCGUAGUCCCUGUCUCUUAUAC
rnacentral:rRNA from 1 species